rnacentral:rRNA from 1 species
UUUUGACCUCGGAUCAAGUAGGGAUACCCGCUGAACUUAAGCAUAUCA